GCGCCAAUAGCUCAGUUGGAUAGAGCAACUGCCUUCUAAGCAGUAGGUCACAGGUUCGAGUCCUGUUUGGCGCA
rnacentral:tRNA from 2 species